GUCCUAGGGAAGCGUCGCAGCACCCGGAGCAUGCUGUGCCCUCCUGCCCUCCUGGUGCCUUCUCCCGCCCAGCACAGCGCCUGGCCACAGCAGGUGCACUGCACGCUUAUUUUUAAAGUGAAUGUGUGCGUCUUACGCCGCCGCCCCAUUUGGGAUACAUUUGGGGGUGUGCAGAGGCUUCUCCGGACUCUUGAGUUUUGUCCUUGGUGAGACAUGAGACUUGUAAACAUCGUCAAGGAAGGAUCUACCCACAAUUCGCUUUGAAUUCUACACACUGUCGAGUCCAUCACUUUGUAUAAAGCAAAACAAGAAG